GUCUGAAUUUUAGGUUAGUAUCUCACACGUCAUCAGUUUCGUCGUGGGAUCGAUUGUUACGUUACUACCUGUGUUCGAUUCUUGCCUAACAAUUAGAUUAUAAACUCGAGAUUUUUAUCGCGUGAUAUUUGAAGGCUGAAUCAACUAUCAUACAUAUCAUACAUGAAUCGACUACCAUACAAACCGAAUCGUGAGGGAAUAAUACCGUAAAUCUACUAGUCAUUUAAAACUUUACACCAUGACAGAACGCUUCAUGUUUCUGUGCUUGUUUUUAUUUCCAAUCACAAGCCGUGGGUCCACGCAUCCUACUCACUGCCUGUUGUGGAAUUGAUGGCGAGUUGCUUGGCCAUUCAGAUUACAGCAUUUGGAUUGGUGAAAACAUUGUGUUUCUAGACUAACCCCUCGGCACAAAAAGGUUAAGAAAAACAAGUAUUUAAUUGGCAUUCAACUCCAACGAUCGAUUAACUUAUGAUAAAAGUGUCAUAUUUCCCCAAGAAAAAUAAUUAAACUUGAUAACGAUUCAGCGAUAGAACUUGAUAAUAUCAUGGUUCUUCAGAGCAACUGAGUGACAUCGCCAACAAUCAUGUGACCGUGGCUCAUCCCACGCUGAUCUUUAAGGUUACUCAAACGCGUGCUCAAACUCCACAAAGGGGCAGGAGAUGAGGUCAUCAUAUAGUAACAUGUAUUCAAAGAUCGCCAAGUGGUUCUUCAUCUGUUCGGAUUUGUUGAAUGUUUUUAGGUUUCGAGAGACAUACUGUACUCACGCUGCUUGAGGUUAUGGCGGCUUCUCUUGUCAGUUUUCUUUGCUCCGAAUUCGUACUGUAGAUUGAUCGAUGAAUUACCAACUAGUACUGUAAAGUUUAUCUUGGCUAACGGAGAUAGGAUGGAUCAGAAGUUACAGUCGAGUAAACGUCAUGAGAAACAUUACUUGUCCCCAGACCUUGCCCGAGCACCGAACGCUCACAUGACAUAUCAACAAAAGAGUAUUUACUUCUGCUUUUCUUUGAUUCUUUCGUUCACUACCUUCCGUCUCUUGUAAGUCAUGGAUGAACGUAACAGAAACAACUCUGACAUGUUGCGAGAACUUAGCGACACCGAGGAAAGAAUUGUUAGGGGAGAAGUUCACCCCAAUAAUCAGGAAGCCCAGCUGAUGCGUGAAUUCCUGGCUCAAGCCAAGAAGGCAUUGGAUUUUGCCUCAGGAGUGAUAGACUUAAUGGAACAAAAACUUCCACCUGAACCAGAACCAAAACCUGAACCUGAACUGGAACCUCAACCUAAGAAGAAGAAAAAGUCUCACUAAAAGAGAGUGUUGGUAGUUAAGCCAAGUUCAACUUGACCACCUGAUUUCUCUCACUUGAUUCCUGUUGUGUAGGAGUAUUAUUUAGGUGACCUUUGUGUAGAUCCUGUAGUUGUAGGGAAAACUGUCACUACCAUAGCCUUAGUAUAAUAAAUUUUGUUUAGUCCUCCAAUCCAUCAUAAUUUGGGAAAGCUUUUAUUCAGUGGUUCUAUUGGAGUAGUUGGUUGUAGACAAAGCAUUGACAGUCCUCUGGACAAGUAGUUAAGCAUAUCUGUAUGUGAAAUUAUUGUUAGACAUGUGACUCUCAAACUGAGUGAAUAACAACUAGUGAAUUUAAUGACCAAAUAGGGGAAAAAGUAAUGUGACAAGUGACCAAAGAUAAAAUUAUCUGAACAGUUAUCAAUAACACUUGGUGUGUCAUAGAAAUUUCCUGUUUGUCUCAGGCAAUUGCUUUGGUUUUGUAUUCUUUAUUUAGACCUUGUGGGACUUUGCAUUCUGGCUUUAUUUAGAAAAAUUUUCUCAUUUUAAUAGCUUUCUGUUGAUAUUAUUUGUCUAGUUUGACCCUAAGCCUAACAGCAUUUGUACACUGAUGUUUUAUAAACUUGCUCAUUUUGCUAUUGUUUCUUCAGUGAUUCACUUUAUCACAGCUUGAAUUUCUUUUUCAAUCAUUGGUUGUAAAUAUUUCUCUAAAUUCAGUCUCACUUUGUGCCGAGUCAUCGGCUGUUACUGUUUUUUCUCAUUUUAAACUGGACUAGCGUUUGUUACAUAAUUUUGUUACAGCGUAACUCCUGAUGUUAACCUUUGGUUGUGUUCUUCGUGUAAUGGUUUGCAAAUUUUAUCGCUUUUACUUUUUAAAUUCAUUUACAUCAAUUGAUAUGGUAUUUAGGCUUAUCUUAGAUUGGUUAUUUUCCAUUAUUUUAAUGUUACUCAUUCCGGGUUUUCUCCUUAAUUUAUUGUUCGUCCUGAUAUUUUAAUAAAC
rnacentral:lncRNA from 1 species